rnacentral:rRNA from 1 species
GCCCUAACGGCGGCCUACACAUGCAGUCGAGCGGCAGCGGAAGUAGCUUGCUACUUUGCCGGCGAGCGGCGGACGGGUGAGUAAUGUCUGGGAAACUGCCUGAUGGAGGGGGAUAACUACUGGAAACGGUAGCUAAUACCGCAUAACGUCGCAAGACCAAAGAGGGGGACCUUCGGGCCUCUUGCCAUCAGAUGUGCCCAGAUGGGAUUAGCUAGUAGGUGGGGUAACGGCUCACCUAGGCGACGAUCCCUAGCUGGUCUGAGAGGAUGACCAGCCACACUGGAACUGAGACACGGUCCAGACUCCUACGGGAGGCAGCAGUGGGGAAUAUUGCACAAUGGGCGCAAGCCUGAUGCAGCCAUGCCGCGUGUAUGAAGAAGGCCUUCGGGUUGUAAAGUACUUUCAGCGGGGAGGAAGGCGUUGAGGUUAAUAACCUCAGCGAUUGACGUUACCCGCAGAAGAAGCACCGGCUAACUCCGUGCCAGCAGCCGCGGUAAUACGGAGGGUGCAAGCGUUAAUCGGAAUUACUGGGCGUAAAGCGCACGCAGGCGGUCUGUCAAGUCGGAUGUGAAAUCCCCGGGCUCAACCUGGGAACUGCAUUCGAAACUGGCAGGCUAGAGUCUUGUAGAGGGGGGUAGAAUUCCAGGUGUAGCGGUGAAAUGCGUAGAGAUCUGGAGGAAUACCGGUGGCGAAGGCGGCCCCCUGGACAAAGACUGACGCUCAGGUGCGAAAGCGUGGGGAGCAAACAGGAUUAGAUACCCUGGUAGUCCACGCCGUAAACGAUGUCGACUUGGAGGUUGUGCCCUUGAGGCGUGGCUUCCGGAGCUAACGCGUUAAGUCGACCGCCUGGGGAGUACGGCCGCAAGGUUAAAACUCAAAUGAAUUGACGGGGGCCCGCACAAGCGGGUGGAGCAUGUGGUUUAAUUUCGAUGCAACGCGAAGAACCUUACCUACUCUUGACAUCCAGAGAACUUAGCAGAGAUGCUUGGUGCCUUCGGGAACUCUGAGACAGGUGCUGCAUGGCUGUCGGUCAGCUCGUGUUGGUGAAUGGUAGGUAAGUCCCGCAACGAGCGCAACCCUUAUCCUUUGUUGCAGCCGCUAAGCCGGACUCAAAGGAAACUGCCAUGAAUAACCUGAGAAGGGUGGGGAAUGACGUCAGUCAUCAUGUCCUAGCGGAUAGGCUAACCACGGGUGCCAUAUCACAAAUGGUGC